rnacentral:rRNA from 1 species
AACGAACGCUGGCGGCAUGCCUAACACAUGCAAGUCGAACGAGACCUUCGGGUCUAGUGGCGCACGGGUGCUUAACGCGUGGUAACCUGCCCUUGGGUUCGGAAUAACUCCCCGAAAGGGGUGCUAAUACCGGAUAAUGUCUUCGGACCAAAGAUUUAUCGCCUUUGGAUGGGCCCGCGUUGGAUUAGCUAGUUGGUAGGGUAAAAGCCUACCAAGGCGACGAUCCAUAGCUGGUCUGAGAGGAUGAUCAGCCACACUGGGACUGAGACACGGCCCAGACUCCUACGGGAGGCAGCAGUGGGGAAUAUUGGACAAUGGGCGAAAGCCUGAUCCAGCAAUGCCGCGUGAGUGAUGAAGGCCUUAGGGUUGUAAAGCUCUUUUACCAGGGAUGAUAAUGACAGUACCGGGAGAAUAAGCUCCGGCUAACUCCGUG